rnacentral:rRNA from 1 species
UACGGGAGGCAGCAGUGGGGAAUAUUGCACAAUGGGCGCAAGCCUGAUGCAGCCAUGCCGCGUGUAUGAAGAAGGCCUUCGGGUUGUAAAGUACUUUCAGUCGUGAGGAAGGUGUUAAGGUUAAUAACCUUAGCAAUUGACGUUAGCGACAGAAGAAGCACCGGCUAACUCCGUGCCAGCAGCCGCGGUAAUACGGAGGGUGCGAGCGUUAAUCGGAAUUACUGGGCGUAAAGGGCACGCAGGCGGUUAAUUAAGUUGGAUGUGAAAUCCCCGGGCUUAACCUGGGAAUGGCAUUCAAGACUGGUUAGCUAGAGUCUUGUAGAGGGGGUAGAAUUCCAUGUGUAGCGGUGAAAUGCGUAGAGAUGUGGAGGAAUACCGGUGGCGAAGGCGGUCCCCUGGACAAAGACUGACGCUCAUGUGCGAAAGCGUGGGGAGCAAACAGGGAUUAGAUACC